UGGGGAAUUUUGGACAAUGGGGGAAACCCUGAUCCAGCCAUCCCGCGUGUGCGAUGAAGGCCUUCGGGUUGUAAAGCACUUUUGGCAGGAAAGAAACGUCAUGGGUUAAUACCCCGUGAAACUGACGGUACCUGCAGAAUAAGCACCGGCUAACUACGUGCCAGCAGCCGCGGUAAUACGUAGGGUGCAAGCGUUAAUCGGAAUUACUGGGCGUAAAGCGUGCGCAGGCGGUUCGGAAAGAAAGAUGUGAAAUCCCAGAGCUCAACGUUGGAACUGCAUUUUUAACUACCGGGAUAGAGUGUGUCAGGGGGAGGUGGAAUUCCGCGUGUAGCAGUGAAAUGCGUAGAUAUGCGGAGGAACACCGAUGGCGAAGGCAGCCUCCUGGGAUAACACUGACGCUCAUGCACGAAAGCGUGGGGAGCAAACAGG
rnacentral:rRNA from 1 species